rnacentral:rRNA from 1 species
CACGUAGGGCGCGAGCGUUGUCCGGAAUUAUUGGGCGUAAAGAGCUCGUAGGCGGCCUGUUGCGUCCGCUGUGAAAGCCCGGGGCUUAACCCCGGGUCUGCAGUGGAUACGGGCAGGCUAGAGGUAGGUAGGGGAGAAUGGAAUUCCCGGUGUAGCGGUGAAAUGGCGCAGAUAGUCGGAGGAACACCGGUGGCGAAGGCGGUUCUCUGGGCCUUACCUGACGCUGAGGAGCGAAAGCGUGGGGAGCGAACAGG